rnacentral:rRNA from 1 species
AGAGUUUGAUCCUGGCUCAGAUUGAACGCUGGCGGCAUGCCUUACACAUGCAAGUCGAACGGCAGCACGGGAGCAAUCCUGGUGGCGAGUGGCGAACGGGUGAGUAAUAUAUCGGAACGUGCCCAGUAGUGGGGGAUAGCCCGGCGAAAGCCGGAUUAAUACCGCAUACGACCUACGGGUGAAAGGGGGGGGAUCGCAAGACCUCUCGCUAUUGGAGCGGCCGAUGUCAGAUUAGGUAGUUGGUGGGGUAAAGGCCCACCAAGCCGACGAUCUGUAGCUGGUCUGAGAGGACGACCAGCCACACUGGGACUGAGACACGGCCCANACUCCUACGGGAGGCAGCAGUGGGGAAUUUUGGACAAUGGGCGCAAGCCUGAUCCAGCCAUGCCGCGUGCGGGAAGAAGGCCUUCGGGUUGUAAACCGCUUUUGUCAGGGAAGAAAUCUUCUGGGCUAAUACCCCGGGAGGAUGACGGUACCUGAAGAAUAAGCACCGGCUAACUACGUGCCAGCAGCCGCGGUAAUACGUAGGGUGCGAGCGUUAAUCGGAAUUACUGGGCGUAAAGCGUGCGCAGGCGGUUUUGUAAGACAGAGGUGANAUCCCCGGGCUCAACCUGGGAACUGCCUUUGUGACUGCAAGGCUUGAGUGCGGCANAGGGGGGAUGGAAUUCCGCGUGUACCAGUGAA